AUACGUAGGGUGCGAGCGUUGUCCGGAAUUACUGGGCGUAAAGGGUGCGUAGGCGGGGAAGCAAGUCAGCAGUGAAAUCUCUGGGCUUAACUCAUAACGUGCUGUUGAAACUGUUUUUCUUGAGUGAGUCAGAGGCAGGUGGAAUUUCCCGUGUAGCGGUGAAAUGCAUAGAGAUAGGGAGGAACACCAGUGGAGAAGGCGGCCUGCUGGGGCUUAACUGACGCUGAGGCACGAAAGCGGGGGGAGAAAACAGGAUUAGAUACCCUGGUAGUCCACGCCGUAAACGAUGAUUACUAGGUGUGUGGGGAGUGACCCCCUACGUGCCGGAGUUAACACAAUAAGUAAUCCACCUGGGGAGUACGGCCGCAAGGUUGAAACUCAAAUGAAUUGACGGGG
rnacentral:rRNA from 1 species